rnacentral:rRNA from 1 species
UACGAAGGUGGCUAGCGUUGCUCGGAAUUACUGGGCGUAAAGGGCGCGUAGGCGGACAGUUUAGUCAGAGGUGAAAGCCCAGGGCUCAACCUUGGAAUUGCCUUUGAUACUGGCUGUCUUGAGUUCGGGAGAGGUGAGUGGAAUGCCGAGUGUAGAGGUGAAAUUCGUAGAUAUUCGGCGGAACACCAGUGGCGAAGGCGACUCACUGGCCCGAUACUGACGCUGAGGCGCGAAAGCGUGGGGAGCAAACAGG